GUGCCGUAGCCUAGUGGUUAAGGCGAUAGACUAGAAAUCUUCUGGGAUAUUUCCGCGCAGAUUCGAAUCCUGCCAAGACAUA
rnacentral:tRNA from 1 species